UGAACGCUGGCGGCGUGCCUAAUACAUGCAAGUCGAGCGCACGGACGAUAAUCUUGCUUCUCUGAUGUUAGCAGCUGACUUGUGAUUAACACGUGGAUAAUCUACCUAUAAGACUGGGAUUACUUCGGGAAACCGUAGCUCAUACCUGAUAAUAUUUUGAACCUCAUGGUUCAAAAGUGCAUGACGGUCUUGCUGUCACUUCUAGAUGGAUCCGCGCUGCAUUAGCUAGUUGGUAAGGUAACGGCUUACCAAGGCAACGAUGCAUAGCCGACCCGAAAGGGAGAACGGACACACGGGAACUGAGACACGGUCCAGACACCGACGGGAGGAAGCAGUAGGGAAUCUUCCGCAAUGGGCGAGAGGCGGACGGAGCAAAGCCGCGUGAGUGAUGAAGGUCUGCGGAUCGUAAAACGAUGUUAUUAGGGAAGAACAUAUGUGUAAGUAACAGUGCACAUCUUGACGGUACCUAAUCAGAAAGCCACGGCUAACUACGUG
rnacentral:rRNA from 1 species